rnacentral:lncRNA from 1 species
CAUGAAUGGGAUUAGUAUCCUUAUGAAACAGUCUGUCUUAUUCCUUCUGCGAUGUGAGGACACAGCAAGAGGAGAGCCAUCAGUAAAUUAGGAAGUGAGCUGUCACCAGAUACCAAAUCUGCUAGUGCCUCAGUCUUGAACUUUCCAACCUUCAGAACUGUCCUUGUAUCAUUGGGCAGCACUGUAUGGAGAUUCACAGCCAAACAAAAUUGUAUUUAUCAUUGAUACCCUGCACAUUAUCAAGGAUGAUAUGUCAAGAGAAACUAAUUGUCAUGUAACACUGAAGGAUAGUAAGUGACGUUAUUGCUGUGAUCCAUCACCAGUACUUGGAAAACAUCCUCACUGUGCUUGGCAUCAGAAAUCUGCGAUGGGUUCUUUUGCCACCACUCCACGUUAUCUCCUACUCAGCUUGCUUCAGCGUGUGCCUGCAUAGCUGGUGAGUGGAGUAGAUCCAUGCCCCAUGAUCUGAACCCACAAGCCCGGGCUGCUGAAGCGGAGUGCAUGGAACUUGAACUGCUCAGCCACCGGCUGGACCAUGGAAG